rnacentral:rRNA from 1 species
GACGAACGCUGGCGGCAUGCCUAAUACAUGCAAGUUGAACGAUGAUAUUCUCUGCUUGCAGAGAAUUGAAGAGUAGCGAACGGGUGAGUAACACGUGGGGACCCUGCCCAUGAGAGGGGGAUAACAUUCGGAAACGGAUUCUAAUACCGCAUAAUGCUUUGGACCGCCUGGUCCAGAGACGAAAGACGGCUUUUGCUGUCACUCAUGGAUGUCCCCGCUCCGUAUUAGCUAGUUGGUGAGGUAAGGGCUCACCAAAGCUGUGAUACGUAGCCGACCUGAGAGGGUGAUCGGCCACACUGGGACUGAGACACGGCCCAGACUCCUACGGGAGGCAGCAGUGGGGAAUCUUCGACAAUGGGCGCAAGCCUGAUGGAGCAAUGCCGCGUGAAUGAAGAAGGUCUUCGGAUCGUAAAGUUCUGUUAUUAGAGAAGAACAAGUCAAGGAGUAAAUGUCGUGACUUUGACGGUACCUAACCAGAAAGUCACGGCUAACUACGUG